AAGAAAAGAAAAAGCAAAGAAAAAGCAAAGGGAAGAAAUCUCACUAGGGUCCUUGUAUGGCGUGCAUGUGGAGCAUGGAAGCGCGCAGCCUCGUUCGCGGAGUUUAGCACCCAUCCUUGUCACUUUAGGUUGUCACAGUCCGCUGCAACCAUCGUGCCCAGCUCUGGCUCGCCUCAGGUGUUGAGACAACCUCCAGAUGGUUCGUCUAGUCUGCCGUCUAUGAAAUGGCCAUGCAUUUUUGUUCUCUAUAUUAGUUUCUAUUUCUCGGCGGACACAGAAAUAUAGUUUCCCAUCCCAUGGACUGUUUCAGAUAGACUGUAUGAGAGUAACGUGUUGUACCUUUAGAUAUGGGG
rnacentral:sRNA from 1 species